UACGGGGGGGGGCAAGCGUUGUUCGGAAUUAUUGGGCGUAAAGGGCGCGUAGGCGGCUUGGCAAGUGGAUGGUGAAAUCCCUCGGCUUAACCGAGGAACUGCCGUCCAAACUGCUUUGCUUGAGACCGGGAGAGGUGAGUGGAAUUCCCAGUGUAGCGGUGAAAUGCGUAGAUAUCAGGAGGAACACCUGUGGUGUAGACAGCUUUCUGGACCACUUCUGACGCUGAGACACGAAAGCGUGGGUAGCAAACAGG
rnacentral:rRNA from 1 species